rnacentral:rRNA from 1 species
UGGGGAAUAUUGGACAAUGGGCGCAAGCCUGAUCCAGCCAUGCCGCGUGAGUGACGAAGGUCUUCGGAUUGUAAAACUCUUUUGGCGGGGACGAUAAUGACGGUACCCGCAGAAUAAGCCCCGGCUAACUUCGUGCCAGCAGCCGCGGUAAUACGAAGGGGGCUAGCGUUGUUCGGAAUCACUGGGCGUAAAGCGCACGUAGGCGGAUGUGCCAGUCAGGGGUGAAAUCCCGGAGCUCAACUCCGGAACUGCCUCUGAUACAGCACGUCUUGAGUUCGAGAGAGGUGGGUGGAAUUCCUAGUGUAGAGGUGAAAUUCGUAGAUAUUAGGAAGAACACCAGUGGCGAAGGCGGCCAACUGGCUCGAUACCGACGCUGAGGUGCGAAAGCGUGGGGAGCAAACAGGAUUAGAUACCCCCGUAGUCCCUGAGCGGGCUGGCAAGGCGCAU